rnacentral:rRNA from 1 species
UACGAAGGGGGCUAGCGUUGCUCGGAAUUACUGGGCGUAAAGCGCACGUAGGCGGAUUGUUAAGUCGGGGGUGAAAUCCUGGAAGCUCAACUCCAGAACUGCCUUCGAUACUGGCGAUCUCGAGUUCGGGAGAGGUGAGUGGAACUGGCGAGUGUAAGAGGUGAAAUUCGUAGAUAUUCGCAAGAACACCAGUGGCGAAGGCGG